UGGGGAAUAUUGCACAAUGGGGGGAAACCCGUACGAUGCAGCGACGCCGCGUGAGCGAAGAAGUAUUUCGGUAUGUAAAGCUCUAUCAGCAGGGAAGAAAAUAGACAGUACCUGACUAAGAAGCCCCGGCUAACUACGUGCCAGCAGCCGCGGUAAUACGUAGGGGGCGAAGCGUUAUCCGGAUUUACUGGGUGUAAAGGGAGCGCAGGCGGUCCUGCAAGUCUGAUGUGAAAGCCCGGGGCUCAACCCCGGGACUGCAUUGGAAACUGUGGGACUUGAGUGUCGGAGGGGCAAGUGGAAUUCCUAGUGUAGCGGUGAAAUGCGUAGAUAUUAGGAGGAACACCAGUGGCGAAGGCGGCUUGCUGGACGACAACUGACGCUGAGGCUCGAAAGCGUGGGGAGCAAACAGGAUUAGAUACCCUGGUAGU
rnacentral:rRNA from 1 species